GCGCCCGUAGCUCAGUUGGAUAGAGCGUAGGCCUCCGGAGCCUAAGGUCGCAGGUUCGAUCCCUGUCGGGCGCACCA
rnacentral:tRNA from 1 species